GGAUGUGAGGGCAAUCUGGCUGUGACAUUUGUCACCCCACUGAUCGUCAAGUUGAUUUGGCUGUUCUGACUGGCUAGCCAGGUGUCUCCUUCUUCCCUUACUGCUCCAUGUGCAUCUCUCCCGAAGCUGCAUACUCAGUUGAAGAGGAUGACCAUCCCCAUUAGAGGAGAACCAUUCUUCUGUCAAGGUUAUACGAGUAACUGUGCUCCCCCGCUAGAACCUCUGAUAAGCUCUCAAGAAACAGAGCGCAUAUAAGUUUAAAUUAAAAUAAAGUUUU
rnacentral:snRNA from 1 species